AUGGACAUGGGAUUUAGGAAUGGCCGGAUGGAUGUAAAUAUGAGAUUUCCAAAUGGAGAGGUUAAUAGUCAUGAUGAUGUCAUCCACAUGCUGUUGGACAGCGGGGCCGAUGUUAAUAUGUUAAGUGAUGAAGGCAUGUCUGCUCUGGCUGUCUGUCAUGUCCUCUACUACCCACUUCAGUCUUUACAUGAGACGCUGGCUGAGCGAGUGACACAGAAUAUCAGCCCAGAGCCACAGCCUUUGGAAGCCAUCUCCCAUGAAUCCUCUCCAGAUCCAAUGAUAGGAACACCCAAAGAUGAAAGUGGCCAAGAGACAUUUGAGACACCAAUAGAAAUCAACCGAAUUGACCAAAGUCUUGAACCAGAGAACCUCAAUAACUUGGAGAAACUUGAAGCUCAAGAGCAAAUAAAUGAGGACAUAAGUGAAGAUGAGAUACUGUACUUCAUCAGCCUCGGAGGAACCUCAACUUCAUCAGAUCAAUCAAAAUACAGACCCAAACAAGGAAGUAGUUGUUCAACUUGAACAUGAAGAAGACAAACCAGCAGAAGAACCAUAUGUUAUAAUGUCAAGAUCUAUUCAAGUUUUUGAUGAUAAAAUUCCAGUGGGUUCUGUAUCGUGCCAAGAGAAGGAAGCAAAGACAGUCGUUAACUCUGAGGAAGAGGUGACAAAUCUGGAGAUCGAUGAAAACCUGGAAAGGAACAUUAGAUCAGCUGUACCUACUUUUGAUUCUGUAUGUUCUAUGGCUAGUUUUCAUAUUCACGUCACAGAGGAGAUCCUGCAGAAGAGUGCUGAUAUUCUGUGCCAGACAGGAACAGUGACUUCGACAGACACCCAGGAGACAGUCCGGAUAAUUGCACUUCUUAAGACAGCGUUAGUAGAUUUAUUUGAAUCUCAAAAAUAUAUCUGGGUCAUAUAGAAUUUUUAUUGUUGAUACCAAUACUACUGAUGUCUCUAGGAAUUUGUUCUUUUUUUCCUAAUAUUUAGCCAUUGACUAUAGCCAUUCAACAUAACAGUAUAAUUGAGAGCUAUUAAUCUUAACAAAGCAUUUAUUAGACUUUAAAAAAUAACAACUUCUAAUUUAGGUGAAUGUAAAACAAUCUUCACAUAAACCCAUUAUAAUAAAUGUCAUAUUUACCUGUACCCUUAUACA
ensembl:lncRNA